UACGAAGGGGGCUAGCGUUGUUCGGAAUCACUGGGCGUAAAGGGCGCGUAGGCGGCUUUGUAAGUCGGGGGUGAAAGCCUGUGGCUCAACCACAGAAUUGCCUUCGAUACUGCAUGGCUUGAGACCGGAAGAGGUUAGUGGAACUGCGAGUGUAGAGGUGAAAUUCGUAGAUAUUCGGAAGAACACCAGUGGCGAAGGCGGCUCACUGGACUGGUAUUGACGCUGAGGCGCGAAAAGCCAGGGGGAGCAAACGGG
rnacentral:rRNA from 1 species